UACAGAGGUCUCAAGCGUUGUUCGGAUUCAUUGGGCGUAAAGGGCGCGUAGGUGGCGCGGGCAGUCAACGGUGAAAGUUCGGGGCUCAACCCUGAAUCGGCCGUCGAUACUCCCGUGCUUGAGCACUGUAGAGGCAGAUGGAAUUCCGGGUGUAGCGGUGGAAUGCGUAGAGAUCCGGAAGAACACCGGUGGCGAAGGCGGUCUGCUGGGCAGUAGCUGACACUGAGGCGCGACAGCGUGGGGAGCAAACAGG
rnacentral:rRNA from 1 species